rnacentral:rRNA from 1 species
UCCUGUGUUUCUGACUAGAUAAUCUAUGUGUCGUUAAACAGGUUUGAAGCGGGCCAGUACUUGGAUGGGAGACCAACUAGGAAAGCUGGGUUGUUGCUGGAA